GACGAACGCUGGCGGCGUGCUUAACACAUGCAAGUCGAACGCUGAAGCUCAGCUUUUGUUGGGUGGAUGAGUGGCGAGCGGGUGAGUAACACGUGAGUAACCUGCCCCCUUCUUUGGGAUAACGCCCGGAAACGGGUGCUAAUACUGGAUAUUCACUGGUCUUCGCAUGGGGGUUGGUGGAAAGGGUUUUUCUGGUGGGGGAUGGGCUCGCGGCCUAUCAGCUUGUUGGUGGGGUGAUGGCCUACCAAGGCUUUGACGGGUAGCCGGCCUGAGAGGGUGACCGGUCACAUUGGGACUGAGAUACGGCCCAGACUCCUACGGGGGGCAGCAGUGGGGAAUAUUGCACAAUGGGCGCAAGCCUGAUGCAGCGACGCCGCGUGAGGGAUGGAGGCCUUCGGGUUGUGAACCUCUUUCGCUCAUGGUCAAGCCGCAACAAUGGUUGUGGUGAGGGUAGUGGGUAAAGAAGCGCCGGCUAACUACGUG
rnacentral:rRNA from 1 species